rnacentral:tRNA from 1 species
ACUCUGAUAGCUUAUAUAUUUAGAGCACAGCACUGAAGAUGCUGGGGAGGCAAUCUUAUGCCUUGGAGUG